UACGGAGGGUGCAAGCGUUGUUCGGAAUUACUGGGCGUAAAGCGCGUCUAGGCGGAUGUGCAAGUCAGAUGUGAAAGACCCUGGCUCAACCAGGGAAUUGCAUUUGAAACUGCAUGUAUUGAGUCAUGGAGAGGUGAGCGGAAUACCGAGUGUAGCAGUGAAAUGCGUAGAUAUUCGGUGGAACAUCGGAGGCGAAGGCGGCUCACUGGCCAUGUACUGACGCUGAAGCGCGAAAGCGUGGGUAGCAAACAGG
rnacentral:misc_RNA from 1 species